CAGAUUUAUGGCCAUCAUUUGUAAUUGUAGCGCGAAAAUUGAGUUUGAAGUUUGGUCAACGGGAUCCACCACAACGAGAGGCAUGUGGCAGAGUCCUGGGUGGCAUGGUAUGCUCCUCCAUUGUUUCCAUCAACAUAAUUCUCUCUCCUCAGACAUGUGUUCCCAUGAGAUUUAGGGUUCAAUGAUUGAUGGCAAGAAAAGAAC
rnacentral:lncRNA from 1 species